CCUACGGGAGGCAGCAGUGGGGAAUAUUGCACAAUGGGGGAAACCCUGAUGCAGCGACGCCGCGUGAGUGAAGAAGUAUCUCGGUACGUAAAGCUCUAUCAGCAGGGAAGAAAAUGACGGUACCUGACUAAGAAGCCCCGGCUAACUACGUGCCAGCAGCCGCGGUAAUACGUAGGGGGCAAGCGUUAUUCGGAAUUACUGGGGGUAAAGGGAGCGUAGACGGCAGCACAAGUCUGGAGUGAAAUCCCAGGGCUUAACCCCGGAACUGCUUUUGAAACUGUGCGGCUUGAGUGCAGGAGGGGUAAGCGGAAUUCCGAGUGUAGCGGUGAAAUGCGUAGAUAUUAGGAGGAACACCGGUGGCGAAGGCGGGUUACUGGACUGUAACUGACGUUGAGGCUCGAAAGCGUGGGGAGCAAACAGGAUUAGAUACCCUAGUAGUC
rnacentral:rRNA from 1 species